AACGAACGCUGGCGGCGUGUCUAACACAUGCAAGUCGUGCGAGAAAGUUCCUUCGGGAGCGAGUAAAGCGGCGCACGGGUGAGUAACACGUAGGUAACCUGCCCCCCAGUCUGGAACAACUAGAGGAAACUCUAGCUAAUGCCGGAUGAGACCACGAUCCCCUUCGGGGGUUGCGGCCAAAGAUGGCCUCUACUUGUAAGCUAUCGCUGAGGGAUGGGCCUGCGGGCCAUUAGCUUGUUGGUGAGGUAACGGCUCACCAAGGCUGUGAUGGCUAGCUGGUCUGAGAGGAUGACCAGCCACACUGGGACUGAGACACGG
rnacentral:rRNA from 1 species